rnacentral:tRNA from 1 species
UCCUUGGCGGUCCAGUGGUUAAUGACUCUGUGCUCCCAAUGCAGGGGGCCUGGGUUCGAUUCCUGGUCAAGGAA